GUGGGGAAUAUUCCGCAAUGGGCGCAAGCCUGACGGAGCAACGCCGCGUGAAUGAAGACGGUCUUCGGAUUGUAAAGUUCUGUCAUUAGGGACGAAGGACUCAUGUAAAUAAUAUGAGGAAUGACGGUACCUAAGGAGGAAGCUCCGGCUAACUACGUGCCAGCAGCCGCGGUAAUACGUAGGGAGCAAGCGUUGUCCGGAAUUACUGGGCGUAAAGGGCGCGUAGGCGGAUAAUUAAGUCAGAUGUGAAAUCUCCAGGCUUAACUUGGAGCGUGCAUUUGAAACUGGUUAUCUUGAGGGCAGGAGAGGAAAGUGGAAUUCCUAGUGUAGCGGUGAAAUGCGUAGAUAUUAGGAGGAACACCAGUGGCGAAGGCGACUUUCUGGACUGAACCUGACGCUGAGGCGCGAAAGCAUGGGGAGCGAACGGGAUUAGAUACCCCGGUAGUCC
rnacentral:rRNA from 1 species